AACGAACGCUGGCGGCAGGCCUAAUACAUGCAAGUCGAGCGCACCCCUUCGGGGGCGAGCGGCGGACGGGUCAGUAACGCGUGGGAACGUGCCCUUCUCUAAGGAAUAGCCUCGGGAAACUGAGAGUAAUACCUUAUACGCCCUUCGGGGGAAAGAUUUAUCGGAGAAGGAUCGGCCCGCGUUAGAUUAGAUAGUUGGUGGGGUAACGGCCUACCAAGUCUACGAUCUAUAGCUGGUUUGAGAGGAUGAUCAGCAACACUGGGACUGAGACACGGCCCAGACUCCUACGGGAGGCAGCAGUAGGGAAUCCUGGACAAUGGGGAAACCCUGAUCCAGCCAUGCCGCGUGUGUGAUGAAGGCCCUAGGGUCGUAAAGCACUUUCGCCAGGGAAGAUAAUGACGGUACCUGGUAAAGAAACCCCGGCUAAACU
rnacentral:rRNA from 1 species